rnacentral:rRNA from 1 species
AUACGGAGGAUGCAAGCGUUAUCCGGAUUUAUAGGGUUUAAAGGGUGCGUAGGCUGUUCGGAAAGUCAGGGGUGAAAGCCCGGCGCCUAACGCCGGAACUGCCUUUGAUACUUCCGAGCUGGAAUACGGAUGCCGUGGGAGGAAUGAGUAGUGUAGCGGUGAAAUGCAUAGAUAUUACUCAGAACACCGAUUGCGAAGGCAUCUCACGAAUCCGUCAUUGACGCUGAGGCACGAAAGCGUGGGGAUCAAACAGGAUUAGAUACCCUGGUAGUCCACGCAGUAAACGAUGAUGACUAACCGUCGGCGAUACACAGUCGGUGGCCAAGCGAAAGCGAUAAGUCAUCCACCUGGGGAGUACGUUCGCAAGAAUGAAACUCAAAGGAAUUGACGGGG